CCUACGGGAGGCAGCAGUAGGGAAUAUUGCUCAAUGGGGGAAACCCUGAAGCAGCAACGCCGCGUGGAGGAUGAAGGUUUUCGGAGUGUAAACUCCUGUUGGUAGAGAAGAGAAUGACGGUAGCUAAAGAAUAAGCACCGGCUAACUCCGUGCCAGCAGCCGCGGUAAUACGGAGGGUGCAAGCGUUACUCGGAAUCACUGGGCGUAAAGAGCGCGUAGGCGGGAUAGCAAGUCAGAUGUGAAAUCCUAUGGCUUAACCAUAGAACUGCAUUUGAAACUGUUAUUCUAGAGUAUGGGAGAGGUAGGUGGAAUUCUUGGUGUCGUGGUCAAAUCCGUAGAGAUCAAGCGUAAUACUCAUUGCGAAGGCGACCUGCUAGAACAUACCUGACGCUGCUGCGCGAAAGCGUGGGGAGCAAACAGGAUUAGAUACCCUUGUAGUC
rnacentral:rRNA from 1 species